CGCGGUAACACCGGCAGCCCAAGUGAUGGCCGAUAUUAUUGGGCUAAAGCGUCCGUAGCUGGCCCGUGCAAGUUCGUCGGGAAAUCCACUCGCUUAACGAGUGGGCGUCCGGCGAAAACUGCUCGGCUUGGGACCGGAAGAUCCAAGGGGUACGUCCGGGGUAGGAGUGAAAUCCCGUAAUCCUGGACGGACCACCGAUGGCGAAAGCACCUUGGAAGGACGGAUCCGACAGUGAGGGACGAAAGCUAGGGUCUCGAACCGGAUUAGAUACCCGGGUAGUCCUAGCCGUAAACGAUGCUCGCUAGGUGUGGCGCAGGCUACGAGCCUGCGCUGUGCCGUAGGGAAGCCGUGAAGCGAGCCGCCUGGGAAGUACGUCUGCAAGGAUGAAACUUAAAGGAAUUGGCGGGGGAGCACUACAACCGGAGGAGCCUGCGGUUUAAUUGGACUCAACGCCGGACAUCUCACCAGCUCCGACAGCAGUAAUGACGGUCAGGUUGAUGACCUUACCCGACGCUGCUGAGAGGAGGUGCAUGGCCGCCGUCAGCUCGUACCGUGAGGCGUCCUGUUAAGUCAGGCAACGAGCGAGACCCGCACCUCUAGUUGCCAGCAGCAUCUUGCGAUGGCUGGGUACACUAGGGGGACUGCCGUCGCUAAGACGGAGGAAGGAACGGGCAACGGUAGGUCAGUAUGCCCCGAAUGAGCUGGGCUACACGCGGGCUACAAUGGCCAAGACAGUGGGAUGCGACACCGAGAGGUGAAGCUAAUCUCCUAAACUUGGUCGUAGUUCGGAUUGCGGACUGAAACCCGUCCGCAUGAAGCUGGAUUCGGUAGUAAUCGCGUGUCAGAAGCGCGCGGUGAAUACGUCCCUGCUCCUUGCACACACCGCCCGUCAAAGCACCCGAGUGGGGUCCGGAUGAGGCCUGGCUACCAGGUCGAAUCU
rnacentral:rRNA from 1 species